UACGAAGGGGGCUAGCGUUGCUCGGAAUCACUGGGCGUAAAGGGUGCGUAGGCGGGUUUUUAAGUCAGGGGUGAAAUCCUGGAGCUCAACUCCAGAACUGCCUUUGAUACUGAAGAUCUUUGAGUCCGGGAGAGGUGAGUGGAACUGCGAGUGUAGAGGUGAAAUUCGUAGAUAUUCGCAAGAACACCAGUGGCGAAGGCGGCUCACUGGCCCGAUACUGACGCUGAGGCACGAAAGCGUGGGGAGCAAACAGG
rnacentral:rRNA from 1 species